AACACACACAUCCAUCCUUGUUUGUUUCCCUAUUUAAGUUCUGUGUUUUUCCUCCUUAGUUGCCAAGUAUUAUGUUGUGUCGUUACCGUAUAUUUGGGGAUUCACACAGGGAUUUCCCCAGUGUGGGAUCAAUAAAGUUUUUAUCGUAUCUAUAUUGGUUUUAAUAUUGAAUUCCCUUUCCCUUGCCCUGUCAUACCUUAGUCUAGUCCACGUUUUAGUUGUUUUAGUUUGUUUUCUCUAGUCUUUGUAUGUUUUAAGUUGUCUUAAAAAUUAAAGUACAUUUUCAAAUUCUUCACUUCAGUUAAUGUAGUAAAGUAUAAACUCUUCGAUUUAUUUAAAGAAUAAAGAAAGGAGGAUUUUUAAAAACACUGAUUCUAGUUCCUGGAGGUAGAUUUGUGCCUCUUUCAACAACAAACCAAAACACUUGGGAGAACUUUAGCUGAAACUAACAAACAGGUUUAUCCUCAAUCUCUUCGAUGUUACCUAGCAUGCUAAUAACUCUGCUAUGCUAAUAGAUAGGCUAGCUGUUAAUAACUGUAAUAAGUGUACAUAGCAACAGAUAGAUUACAGUGAUGCAUAUUAGUGCUCUCGUGCUCGCUGUCACAAGUUCAAUCUGAAGUUGUCUGAUGCUAAAAACUCACCUUACGACUUGACAGAUAUAAUUUGACAGAAAUAUGCUGUUUGAAAAUGUAGUGAAAUUCUGACUUAUCUCAAAAUUCAUACUGCUGCUAUCAAAAAUAAAUAAAAAAAAUUCAUUAUGUAUUUUUCUACCUGCUGAAAAUGGGAUUCCACAGGAGACAAAAAUAAAAAUGAAAAAGUAAGCAUUGAGUCCUAAAGUGUAUCUCUUUAUUAGCGUUAUUGCUGCCUCUAGUGGUUAAUAUUGGAAAAACAGUCCAUCUUUUAUAUGUGAUUAUCCAAGCCAUGCUGCAGCCACACCUAGUUCUCAUUUUGUUCUGAACACAAACUUUUAAUCAUGAAAAAUUAUAAUCUCAUAGAAAAAAAAAACCUCAAAGUAAUAAGGAGACAUAUAUUUCACAUACAAAUAAUUUCACACUUUAUGUUUAGCACCAUAAUGUCGACAGUCAUUUUAAAAUAGACGUAACUGAGAGAAACGUGAGAUGAGAUGUGUGGAGCAGCUUGUAAAUCAGACAUCAUUCCAUAAAUCUGAUAUUUUCAGAAUAUAAAAACCCCCCAAAAAAUAAAAAUUCAAGAGUUCAAGAAAGUUUAUGAAGUAGGCUACCUAUUAGUGAUUAGCAGAUCAGUUGAAUUAUAUGUGCUACAGCAGGGAAAACUGUGCAAAUUAAGGGGAAUGGCUGGGCUAAACUGUACAAUAUAUAACAUCAUAAUCAGGUUUUUUCUUUAUAUAAGUUAACACAUUGGUUAGAAACAACACAAAAUAAAGACAAAAACAAAGAUAACAGUCUAGAAGCUGAAGCAAGAAGUAAGAAAACAAUGCCCUGUUGAUAAAACCAGAAAGAGAAACAUCUCAAUUUGUACAGUCAGAUCUUCUUGAAGCGUCUCUGUAUCCAGGUGGCUACUGGACCGGCUUGUUUACGCACUCCUGAAGUCCAUUUUUGAGCUGUGCAAGCUGCUGGGUGUGGCUAGCGAGGGUGCCAUUGACCUGCGCCAGAUAGCUGUCGGAAUGGCUCUCGAGUUCUGCGCGAAUCCUCUCCAACUGAUCAGCAAGCUCUCCCAGGCUGCUACACUGGCCUUCAACCUGGGCUACACGGCUUUCAACUCCCAUGACCUCACGAUGAGCAUCCAGCGCUGUGCCCCGACAUCCCUGCAGUUCCCCUGACAGCCUCCUCCUCAAUCCCUGCAGCUCACCCUUCAGCUGCACUAAUCUGCGCUCUCCAGCACCAAGCAACUCUCCCUGCUGGCCCACAAGCUUGGCGAUGCCAUGCACUUGUGUGGUCAACCGCUGCUGGCGAUCCUGCCAUGUGGAGUUAACGUGACUCAUCUCAUGAGUGAAAAGGUGCACGGAAUCUCUCAAGCCCUUUAGGGUGCGGUUUACGGAGUUGACAUUAAUCUUGAGGAGUGUGAUUUCACCCUGUAUUGAAUCCUCUUGGUCCUCUUGAGCAAUUUGAAAGAGAAGUCCUUGCAGUGUACUAUUUAGAUGGUCCAACAUAUCCGUGUGUGUGUCCAGACGCCCUGAAAUCUUCUUCUCCAAGUCUUUGCACUCUUCAAUUUCCGUUUGAAUAAGUGCUGCAUCGGGACUGGGCACCGGAGAGCAAGCUGAAGUGCAAAGAAGCUCAAGAUCUGUUAAUUGCUUCUGGACACCAUCCAAACCAGCUUCCAUACGUCUACGGAUGUUCUCAAUCUCCGUCCCUAAUGCUGGCACUACUUGGCCUUCCAGUAGCGCUGGAGAUGUGGCGUUGCUUAAUUCCUCCACAGCCACAAAAACACGCUCCUCCAGGCUUUUCAGUUUGUCCUCAAGAAGGGUUUUAAAUCCAUCCAGGGAUCCCAUACCUCCACCCAGGUCAUCUAACUCUGUCUUGCCCAGACGGCCCUCAACAUCUCGUAAGCGAGUAUCCAACAUUGUCUCCAAGUGCAUUGUCUGCUCACUCAGUACGGUCUGGAGUUGCCUCUGAGACUCUGUCAGGCCCUUAACAGACUCUUCCAGAUGCAGGGUCCUCUCGGAGAGAUCAUUAAUCUGAACACAGCAGCCCGGGGUCACUGUCAGACCCUGGAUCUGAGCCUGAAGAUCACCCAGUUCUUUCCUCAGGCCUGUUUCACGACCAUCCAAUAACUGCUGGUGCUGCUCCUGACCAUUCAGCCUUCUUUCAAACCCAUCCAGGAUCUGUGCUCUGACGCCAGCCAGUCUUUCAUCCAGCAGCUUCUCCAUUAACGUCUGGAUGCCCCCGGUUGGCACCUCCAUCAGCCUCUUCAGCUGCCCAUCAUGGCCCAUUACCAUACCAUGGAUCUCAUCCAGCAUGUGACUCUUGACCCUUAGCUCGUCCUUUACCUCUGUCACCCUUCCCAUCAGCUCACCAAGGACCGGGAAGCCCUCACCGCCCUCUGUGGUGUCCGGCAAGCCCUCAGGGAUGACAGCAAAGCCCACUGUAGAAUCUGGCUGGCGUGGGGCCCCACCUAACAGGGUGCUCACCAUCUUGGUGGUGUCCUCACGAAGCGAGACACGGAGACGAUCCUCCAGGCCAGAGAUCAGACCAUUCAGAGUGUCCAAACCCUGUGAAAGCCUCCUUAGAUCCUGCUCCAUACGAUCUAGACGCUCACCAGAGACACCCAUACUUGUACCUAAAGGCAAGAGGUCAUGAAUAAGCUUCAAGAGAACCAUUGUCUGGAAAGCAGCUUCUUCCGAUUUACUGUAACUUAUAUGGUUACCUGCUGGGGGCACGUGUCCGGUUGGCAUGUUAUCAUGAUGACCACCAGGGAAAAGAGGGAUGCCUAUCUCCAGCCCUGACCCAGGAGUUGGUAUCUUGUUGUGACCCCAUGGGAAACCCUUCAUUCCAGGUCUGGGUCCUUGAAUGGAGCCCUUGAAUGUUGGUAUGAUGGAGUCUGGGCCAGGCGUAGGGCCACCAAAGCAGUUUUCUCCAGAGUAGCCUGGGCAGCAGCGCCAUUCCAGCUCUGUCACUGUCUUAUGGCCAACCUUGUAGGUAGGUUUGAAGAAUGUCCGAUACCUGUGAACAUAUACAGUCUAACAUCAGCUAAAAGGUUAUUCCUCUUUCUCACAGGCACUGCCCAGAGUACUGAACACUGUUCAAACCACAUCCUCUCUGGGCAGUAUAUAAGGAAAAUACACACACCUUAGUCUUUGUGAGUCAGUUCUGAGCCUUUUAUUCUCACAUCUACCAUGAUGCUUGCAUUCCUGUAAUGUUUAAUCGCUUGAAUUUGCACUUUGGACAGCAUUUUGCUCUCAUUGUGUUGUGACCAUUUUUGCCUAGCAUUUGGAUUCUGGACUUUGACUUUGUUCUAAUAUAAUCUCAAACUUCUACCAAGUCUCGAGUGUUACACAUAGGCACCUGAUUACAUUUGGAGCACUUGACUUUUAAAAUCUCA
ensembl:lncRNA